rnacentral:rRNA from 1 species
UACGGGGGGGCAAGCGUUGUUCGGAAUUACUGGGCGUAAAGGGCUCGUAGGCGGCCAACUCAGUCAAACGUGAAAUCCCUCGGCUUAACCGGGGAACCGCGCUUGAUACUGGAUGGCUUGAGAUUGGGAGAGGGAUGCGGAAUUCCAGGUGUAGCGGUGAAAUGCGUAGAUAUCUGGAGGAACACCGGUGGCGAAGGCGGCAUCCUGGACCAACACUGACGCUGAGUGAGCGAAAGCCAGGGGAGCAAACGGG